GAAGAAAGCCUUUGAUAUAUCUUGAUCCAUUGAUAAUUAGUAGAGAAGCAUCAUGUAAAGAUAGAUAACUUUUUAUAGUGUGCUUACUGCGUGCCAGGUGCCCUUGUAGGGACUUUGCAUAAAUUAAAUCCUUUAAUCCUCAAAAUGGUGGUAUGAAGUUAAGCCUUAUCUUUAUCCUUCUUUCAUAAUGAGGACAUCAAGGCAUGGAAGCAUGGAGAUACCCAAAUUACAUAGCAAGUACGUGGUAGUAUUGGAAUGUGAACCCAUGUUGCCUUUAAUCAUAACCACGCUGCCUAUUUUAAUAGGUAAGGUGAAGAGAAUUAUGAGUAAUUCCAGGAGUUCUGAAAAAGUAAGAAGCAUACCAAGACUCAUACCAAAGAAAGAUUGUGACCAGCUGUGUCGGAAUACAUGUGUAGAAAUUGAGGGUUGAAAGAAGAUAGAUUCACCACAUUACCCAGAGGUGGUGACAUCCAGAUGUAUCAACUGAGGAAUGUCCAAUAGUCUGGAAUCUCAGAGAAGAAGAAAGAGGAGCAGGAGAAAGGCAAAAAGGACUAAGAGGAAGGAUUCUGGUGGAUUGAUACUUUCAAGCAUAUGUUCUGGCCUCUCUUUUUAAACAUUGUUUCUUCAGAUGAACAUGGGGGCGGGGAAGAGAGAGAAAAACCAUAAAACAGACUCUUAAUGAGAGAGAACAAACUGAGGGUUGCUGGAGGGGAAGUGGGUGGGCAGGUGGGUUAAAUGGGUGAUGGGCAUUAAGGAGGGCACUUGCUGGGAUGAACACUGGGUGUCAUAUGUAAGUGGCAAGUCACU
rnacentral:lncRNA from 1 species